AUUGACAACAAACCAAAAACUUGCUGUUCGCGCACAAGUGAGGGCCGUGUACCCAUACAACUUAUAAAACAAUGUGCCUAUACACAUAAAUCAGGCAAAUGUCUUGAAGCCUAUGUGUUUUCGCUUAAGAAUGGGAAGCACCAUUGCAGCAGUGUAAAAGCAAAAGGAAUCAAUGCAACUCUGGCAAAUUUAGAAAAGAAAGGAAUCAUGUGUUUGGACAGGCCCAAGAGCUGACAACUCCAAGCAGGAAAACAAUGAGGUUCCUGUUGUUAUGCUGCAUACUGUCUUAAUAUGACAUAAUGGUUCUAACUAUGAACAAAAAAGUAUUUUUG